CGGAAUUAAUUCAAUGAAAAUGAAUAAUAAAAAUUCUGUUUGAAUUUAAUAGUGGAAAUAUUUUCCUGAAUUCGUGUCUGCUUUUAUGAGUUUUUAUCGUUUAUUCUUCAAACGAAAUUGCUUUUAACCUAGCUGAGGAAGCGGGGUAAAGAGACACGGUGAAAGGAACUGUUUGAAUGUAUUAUCUUAUAUCGUUAUCUCUUGACUCAUGUUGUUCGAACGAUUUCUUACGAAAAUAAUAAUAACCGUCGCAGAGGUCUAAUAUGAUGCUUCUGCGUACCGUUUCUACGUCAUCACCGUUUCGGGCAUAGCUUUAGAAUAUUCUUGCAAGCCUUACAGCAGUAUGCAGUGCAUGAGUGUAUCUCGUUUUUGCUGUCCGUUGAUUUACGCUGUCUAUAAAGGGAGACGACGCCUGAAGGCUUGCUGUGAGAUAACAACCUAGGAUUUGAUGGACAAAACUACUACAGAUGUAAUGUCUGUAACAGUGUGACUUAUUUUAUUUCCAAAAAAUGCCACUAAUGGGCUGAUUGAAAAAUUCAUUGGACAUAAGAUGUUAACAAUGGUUUCCAUUAAAACAUAAAGAUGAACAUGAGGAGGUAAAUCAAAAGGAGUCGAAACGUGGAGAAACAGAGCCCCCCCAUUCAUAGUUUCUUCUAUUGGACUUGGAAAGGAUUUAUGAAGUUAUCAUUUAAACACUUUAAAUGAACAAGGAGACAAGUAAGAAGGAUUCGAAACCUGGAGAAGUGAAGCCCCUGUAAUGUUUUUUAGAAGAAACAUGCGGUCCAAUUCACACUGAUGGUUGGUUGUUCUAAGGUUGCGCAUGUGAUGUUGUGUCUUCUGCUCUGUGGCUCAUUUCACUGUCAAUGGUAUCAUUAUUCCUUUCAAAAGUAUCUAUUGUUAGAGGUACUCUCUGCUGUCAACGCUUAGGAAUAAAACCCGAACACCUUCGAUAAUCCUCGAGUGUUCAACAAUUGGGAAAGAAAUAAAGUUCAGCUUGGUCCUACUGAAACAACCAAUGUGAUUAGCUGUUUACAUCUUUGUCAACAACAUCAUGAAGUUAAUUUUCAACUGAUGUGUGAGAGCAACUGGAGAUUAACUUGAAUUCCAUGGAAACAACAAAUUUUCUGGGAUGGUAUUCUUGCCGGAUUUGUUUUGCUUUUUACACCUGCAAAGUUUGGGAUGUUACAAUCUACAGUUGAUUAAGAUCGACGUUGGAGAAGACAGAGAUGACCCCGUAGUUGAA
rnacentral:lncRNA from 1 species